rnacentral:rRNA from 1 species
UACGUAGGGUGCAAGCGUUGUCCGGAAUCAUUGGGCGUAAAGCGCGUGUAGGCGGCCCAGUAAGUCCGCUGUGAAAGCCCAGGGCUCAACCCUGGGAUGCCGGUGGAUACUGUUGGGCUCGAGUCCGGAAGAGGCGAGUGGAAUUCCCGGUGUAGCGGUGAAAUGCGCAGAUAUCGGGAGGAACACCAAUGGCGAAGGCAGCUCGCUGGGACGUGACUGACGCUGAGACGCGAAAGCGUGGGGAGCAAACAGG